CUUCUCGUUGAAAAAAGCAUACGAACAUUUUGUAAAAUGAUUCCCUAAUGAAUAUCGCGGUACAUCGAACGAUGACACUCAGUUUAUCGGUGAUGAAAUAAGAGUAAAUCACUGUGGACUCGUAUACAAACUCCUUUCGUUGGAUUUACGAUAAAAACGGACAAACAAAUGAAACAGAUAUUGCAUUUCGGAACGUAUAAUAAGUCGAGUUCUUGUGUCAUACGUUUUAUGGAUAAUUCCAUUGGAAGGGUUAACAAAGCAUGCGAAAUUAUCCACGGAAUCGAUUCACAAAGAAGAAGGUCCGACCUACAUCUAGACAUCACCGGCACUCUUUAAAAAUGUGGGAAAAAGAAAAUAUAUAUCAACCGCUUCAUCGAUUUUAUAAUACCUUUCAUUUGGAAUUUUUACCUUGAACGAACGCAAACGAGUUUCAAUAAUGGUAUUGCGAUUUUUCUAAUAAAAAUUAUGAAGCUUCGGUUAAACGCUAUCGGUCGCUCGGUUAUUGCCCAUCAAUUCUAUUAUACAUGCGAUCGUAAAAUCGAUUCGACAUUAUCGAAAUUUAUGUUUCUCAUUCUUCCUUUCAUAUAAUUUAUAUAUUAUCAAAGAAACUUCGGGCAUGUAUACAACGUGUCACUUUGAAGACGAUCGAUCUCUUAGAGAACGCUCGGAAAUCUCCGAGGUGAGUUAUCCUAAGCGAUAAGAACAUAAACAGACGCGUCGUCGACGAAUUCCACGACGUAUCUUUGUACAUACGAUAAAAGUAGAAAACGCCAAAGACGCGUUAGCAACCCUGACGCCUAUUCCUCUGGAACUUUUUAACGAGAUCGUUUCGUUCUUGGUAGACGAACGAGAUCGAUAGAUAGACCAGCCACGACAAAAAUAGAUAAAUGAAAUGCAUUAGAGCAUCGACGAGUUUAUUCGACGUCAAUAAGUAAUAGCGUAAUCGGAGGAUCGUUGAAUUUCCGUGGCUUUUCGGCCGAUCGACCUUCCUUUUGAGUUAUUGUUUGCUAUCACGAAACGACAACAAUUGGAUUAGUAUCUCUAUAAUAACAGAACAUUGCUACUCUAACAGAAAAUUUGUAUUUAUUUCUUCUAUUUUCGAUAAUAUGUAAUAUCGUGACAAUAAACUGUUCCAUCGAAUAAAUUAUUUUAAUCAAUUGCAAAACAAUAAUUUUUUUCUUUUCGCGAGUUAUUUCGCGUUUAGAGUUUUGAGUGCCUGUGGAUCCGGUAAAGUAACGCUAAAAACAGUUUAUUUUCGUACUAUUUUCGCAAGGCUUGUAACUUUCACGUUUUACGCGACCACGGACACGUUGCUAAUCUAUUUUUACGAAAGAAGGAAUGAAGCUCGAUCAUAAGCUCCUUUCCUACCGUACAAAAUAACGAGUUUUUGAGAGAAAUCAUUUUCUUCGAGAAGGUCAUCGUUUAAAGUACACCUUUCGAAGGUAGUUAGUAACUCGAACGAGCUCGAACUUUUCCGAUCAGUUCGAACGAAGCUAUUGUACGGAUCCUUUGUUGCCUUGAACUUAACCACCAUAGAUCAAACUUGUAAGUAAUUUCACGAAGGUACGUCUCAUAUCGCUCGCAUUAAUAACAUGAUGUAUAUACUUCUAUAUAAGAUCCUGAACGACGAACCUUUGAACAUCUUUAUUUUUCUUUUGCUUUGAAAAUAGUGGAUACGAAUUUUCUACAAGAUCGAAUUUAAACGACUUCUUCGUAUUUUCUCGACGUAGAGAUUUCGUGGAUCUUGGUAAAGAGCUGGGGAACUCGGGAAAGAGAGGUGAAGAAAAAGAAGGAGGAGGAGGAGGAGGAGGAG